GCAACAGCCUAACAUAGCUAUCUCUUGGAAACCUUUGCUCUAACAUUAUAUUGAUUUCAAUGUUCUACUUCUUUUAGCAAAUGCUCAACUUAACCAAUGUCCUAAUUGUUUUUACGUGUUGUUUUCAAUCCUUGAACAAGGGCUGAUGGAAGUUGCAGCCCAAGAACAUCUGGAAGGCCAUAUAUCACCUCUAAGAGAGAUGCUUUGUACAAACCCUCUUCCAGUGUUAUGCUUCUUAGUCAGGAAAACCACCUGCUUUACCCUGAGACAUUGACAAAUAAAGAAGAACAAGGACAGCUGUGCAGUGUGAAACCCCAGAAACCUUUCACAUAUGCCAAGACUGAUCAAACACGUUUGUACUGAACAGUGAGCACUGGAACCAGCUGGGAACAGAUGGAGAAGAGAGCCCGACUUAAAGACACUUUGGACACAAAAAUCAAAAUUUUUUGUCCUCCAGCUCCAUUAACUCUCAGAUUAGCCUUUCCGCCUACAGUAUAAGAAGCAUCCUGAAACUCUAGCCAUGAGGCCUAGCUACCCUAGUAUGUGCAAAUGAUGAAACAGUUGGAUACAUGGAUUGUGCUGAUGUGUAAAUGGUGCAAGGCUCAGAUUUUAUUUCAGCAGUGACUGUAAGGACUACAGCUAAGGGGAGAAGAAACAAGACAGUAGCAGUGGCAAAUGCCAUCGUCAACUAUGCUAAUCGGAAAAUUUGAAUGAUUUUGCUCUGCAAGGUUUGGUUCCAUUACCUUUCUGCUUAUGGGGUACAAAUUGACAAAUUUUGCUUGAGACUCCAUGACCUGUCUGUGGAUCAAUUCUCAAUUCUUUGAUGCCCUUUGGGCACCCACUGCCCUGACAAUCUUGAUGAGAUUCACUCAGCUGAAUGAAGUCAUAGACAGCGGCUGUUUCCUCAAGUCUGUUGGCUUUAAAAAAAUAAUAAUAAUCAGAGCAUUGAUAGAAGUUACCAAAUCAGAAUUAAAAUGUUUUAACAGAAUGAGGAACCUUCUGUUGACUAUAGCCAGCAUUGCGAGAAGAGGGAGCCAAACUCACCAAAUGCCUGGGAUAAAAUCCAUCAAAUGACAGCUCAAGAUGCAUCCCUGAGAAGAAGCUUUCACUGUAUGGAAAAAGGAAAAAAGAAAGAAAAAAUGAAGAGAGACAAAUGUGUAGCUAACGAAAGAAGGUAACAGAUGUCUAAAUUUAUCCCCUUCCCAGUAUUUGGGGGUUGGACAUAAGGUCUUCUAGAAAUUAUUGAUAAUUUUUGAGCUAUAACUAUAAUGUUAUGGAGUUUGUCAAUAUUUUGUGCAAAGGUGGAUCAGUGCUUCUAAACAAACUGCAUUUCUAAAAUAAGAAUGAAUG